CUGCCUCGCCAGAUCCCAGGCUGCUGCUGUGUGUGUGCUGGCUUCCUUCUAUUUAAUACUGUUUUUCUUAUAGGAGAUACUUUAUGCUUCUGUCAAAUGAAAGUUAUCCUGUUCAGUAUACAAUCAAUGCCUUCAUAAUAUCACCUGCAGAAAUUAGCACUUCCCUUAGAAAAUCUCCAGCAAAAAUUGUGUGCCUACACCUUAAGGGUUCUCAACGCCAAUUCAGGAAACUUUGAUUGAAAAUGAGAGGAAGAACUAUGAGUGAAGAAAUAAACACGUUGAAGCUGUAAACUUCCAAACCAAAAGCAUGGGUCUACUGCAUAGAAAACAUUCAAAAAUAUUUGUAGAGUAAAUGAGCAAGUGUCAAAUACAUGAAUGAAUUGCAUGGCACAUAGUACUUAACAGGAAAGAGACAGAAAAGCGUUGAUAUGAAGAAUUUCUAAAAUCCUCAUAUGAAAUGAGUAAAAUUAAGGAUAAAUGACACUGGAAAACCAAAAUGCCUGGACCUGCUACAAAGUGCUUUUGCCUCACUCAAAGAGGGCAGCCUUCUUUGUCACUCAGUAACUGGGUUGGAGCAGAAUUCCCAGUAAUGUAAUAAGCUGCAGCCCCAUCUGAAGAGAUCUACCAAAAAUUGUCCUCCCUACCUAGAGGAGAGAAACUUAAGAUGGAGGAACAUCUGAGAUGGAGAAGGAAAACAUUAGGACUUCCACUUGGUUGAGUUUGUG
rnacentral:lncRNA from 10 species